GACGAACGCUGGCGGCGUGCUUAACACAUGCAAGUCGAGCGGUAAGGCCCUUUCGGGGGUACACGAGCGGCGAACGGGUGAGUAACACGUGGGUGACCUGCCUUUAGCUCUGGGAUAAGCCUGGGAAACUGGGUCUAAUACCGGAUACGACUCCGCGGUGCAUGCUGUGGGGUGGAAAGCCUUGUGCGGCUGGAGAUGGGCCCGCGGCCUAUCAGCUUGUUGGUGGGGUGAUGGCCUACCAAGGCGACGACGGGUAGCCGGCCUGAGAGGGCGACCGGCCACACUGGGACUGAGACACGGCCCAGACUCCUACGGGAGGCAGCAAGUGGGGAAUCUUGCGCAAUGGGCGAAAGCCUGACGCAGCGACGCCGCGUGAGGGAUGACGGCCU
rnacentral:rRNA from 1 species